CGAGGGGCGGGGCCGGGCCGGCCGGGAGUGCGGGUCGUUCUGCGCGUGCUGCCGGACGAGGCUCCCGCCGCCGACUGACCCGCGCUCCGCCCCGUAACCGGGCCGAGAGGAAGGAAGAGGGAGAGAGGGUUGGAAACAUCAAUGAUGAGAAUCAUUGAUUGUCUGCCUCCUGCAUGCCCCCUACUGGAGAUGGAGCCUGCAACCCAGGCACCCUGGUAGCUAAUGUCAGAAGAAAGUGACUCUCUGAGAACUAGCCCUUCUGUGGCCUCACUUUCCGAAAAUGAGCUGCCACCAGCACCCAAGCCUCCUGGCUACGUGUGCUCGCUGACGGAAGAACUGGUCGCCAAGGCCAGGGAAGAGCUGCAGGAGAAGCCGGAGUGGAGACUCCGAGACGCGCAGGCCCUCCGGGACAUGGUGCGGAAGGAGUGCCCGGGCCUGCGCACCGCUCUGGACGACGCCUUCCUGCUGCGCUUCCUCCGGGCCCGCAAGUUUGAUUACGACCGGGCCCUGCAGCUCCUGAUCAACUACCACGGCUGCAGGAGAAGUUGGCCCGAGGUCUUCCAGAACCUGAAGCCGUCGGCCUUAAAAGAGGUCCUCGCUUCCGGAUUCCUCACCGUGCUGCCCCACACAGACCCGCGGGGCUGCCAUAUCCUCUGCAUCCGCCCAGACAGAUGGAUACCGAGCAGCUAUCCAAUCACUGAAAACAUCCGAGUCAUAUACUUGACGUUGGAAAAGCUCAUUCAAUCUGAAGAGACCCAAGUGAAUGGAAUUGUAAUUCUUGCAGACUACAAAGGAGUGAGCUUAUCAAAAGCAUCUCACUUUGGCCCUUUUAUAGCCAAAAAGGUGAUUGGCAUCCUUCAGGAUGGCUUCCCCAUUCGGAUAAAAGCGGUCCAUAUCGUGAAUGAACCUCGAAUAUUUAAAGGCAUUUUUGCCAUCAUAAAACCAUUUCUGAAGGAGAAAAUAGCAAACAGAUUUUUCCUCCACGGGUCUGACCUGAACUCUCUCCACACAAACCUUCCAAAAAGUAUUCUCCCCAAGGAGUACGGGGGCACGGCUGGCGAGCUGGACAUUGCUGCCUGGAACGCGGUGCUGCUGGCCUCGGAGGAGGACUUUGUGAGAGAGUUCUGCCAGCCUGUCCCCGCCUGCGACAGCAUCCUGGGGCGGGCCCUGCUGCCCGAGGAGCUGACCUCAGAUGCGCAGUGUGAUGACUCCAUGCGGGCUGUGAAAUCACAGCUGUACUCCUGCUAUUAGCCAGUCCCUUGUGAGCACCACCAGCUUUAAGUCCUUUCCUUUUUUUCUUUGGGGAGGCACAGGAGAAUUUUAGGUGCCAUGGAUUCUUGCUCCUUGUAAUUAAGCUGCAGCACGGAGGAAAAGCUGAGCGUGAGCGAAAGGGCAUGCCCUUGAUCACUUGAAUUAUUCCAUGAAGACAUGGAAAACAUUCCCAGUGAUUCCCAAAUUUGUGGAAUCCCAGCUUGCAACCAUUAAUCUGGAAGUUGUUUCUGGUUCUUAAAUAUCUCAAAGCAGGAAGAAUGAGGACCAAAGUCACUUUGAUCCCAUCUUCAGGAGAAAACAACCCGAUUGGCCAGUCAGCACACUCCUAUGAAACACUUGGGUCCAGCCUGCAUGGUGGCCACAUGUAAGACUUUAGGAGUUUGUGUCUCUCACAUGAACCCUAACUCCAGACUUCAAUUGCUCAUCAGGAAUCUACAAGUCUUCGGCCCAGGUACCUGUUGCCAUCAUGGGUUUGGAAAGCACUUUAUCUGAAUCGGGCACACAGCGGGACGUCAGCAGCUUGACCAGGGACUUCCUGAUCAAGUUUGGGAGCCAAGACUUCAAGCACCUGUGGGAUUCAUUGGUUGAAUCUUGCAGUAGAAACUAGUUUUCCCAAAUCCAUAAAGCCUUAGUCUGGUUCUCAAUAGAAUCAUGCAAGGUCCUAGAAGUAUACAAUUUUAUUCAACCUAAAAUACUGGAGGCCAGGCCUGUGUAGCUAAAAGAAUGCUGGCCUAAGAAUUAAGAGACCUGAGCUCCAGCCUCAGAUGUGUGGCCAUGGAUAAGACCUGGGCCUCUGUGAGCCUCAGUUUCCUCAUCUGUAAAAUGAUGCUCAAUGAAAUGACACAUAGGGCCCUUGGGGCUGCUGAGGUUCUGGGGUUUGAUUUAGCUAUUGGAUGUUAGACAUUUCUUUUCCGCCUAGAACAGCGGUUCUCAACCUGUGGGUCACGACCCCUUUGGGGGUCGAACGACCCUUUCACAGGGGUCGCCUAAGACCAUCGGAAAACACAUAUAUAAUUACAUAUUGUUUUUGUGAUUAAUCACUAUGCUUUAAUUAUGUUCAAUUUGUAACAAUGAAAUUGGGGGGCCUUCCUAAUGCCGCGACCCUUUAAUACAGUUCCUCAUGUUGUGGUGACCCCCAACCAUAAAAUUAUUUUCGUUGCUACUUCAUAACUGUAAUUUUGCUACUGGUAUGAAUCGUAAUGUAAAUAUCUGAUAUGCAGGAUGUAUUUUCAGGGGUCGCGACCCACAGGUUGAGAACCGCUGCCUAGAUGCACGUGGCUGGAUCCUGUUUUCCGUGGUACACCUGGGCCUUUCCAAGAGGCAUGUGUCAGUCACCAUUUGGCCCUGCCUUUAAAGAAACAAAGGAGCGCGCACUCUGCCCCAGAGACAAAGCCCAGGCCCUACGGUGGGCCUUGUGUGUUGGUGAUGACUCAGCUGAGAAACGCUCCUGCAGGAUGCUGUACCUUCUCUGUUGGCUUCUGAUGACUCGACAGGUAAGUACUCACAUUGCACCAUCGCUCUUCCGGUCAGCCUUCCCGGAGGAGCCUGUGGAGCUUAAGCUCAGUCUGUUUCUCACAUCUGGAAAAAUGGAGCUUAAGGCUCCAACCCUUCUCACCUGAUAGCAGUGUUACAAGGUAGUUAGGACGCACUUUAUAAGCCACUGGAGUUACUAUGUUAUGAGGCAGCAUUUUCUUGUUUCUUUUCUAAAAUACCUUAGUUUCCCUAUUGCCCACUCUUUACAUAGAACUGGUUUGGCAUUCCUAAAAUAAAUGGCAGCAAAUGUUUCACAUUAUUGCAUUUAUAGCUGAGUAAUAAAAUCAUUUAAGGUGCCACUUUACUGGGAAAAAAAUGUUUUUAAUUAAAUGUUCACCCUCUUACCUGAUAAGGUGCCAGCCAUUAGGGAUACAGUGACCUAGUAAAAUACUAGCUAGUGCCUUAGCGGAUUACUAACUUUCCUUUAUUAAUGAUGGGUAAGCUUAGAGAGCCAGCUGACUCCCCUGUAGGUCCAAGCAGUCUCUAGUUUAUCUUGUCUCCUACAUCCUAGUAGGCCAAGGGACAAUGGGACCUAACUGAAGAAAACUAAGUCAGCCUGGGGUUUGUUUCUGUGUAACUGAGGGCAGAUCACUAAGUUCUCUAAGUGUUGGUUUGACCUGGAAAAGAGAGAAUCACCACCACCUUGCAGGGGUGUGGACAAUGCCUGUUCAUUGCUUGGUACAUGUAGGUAUUUAUGUGGUAGUCAUGACUGUUCUUCACCCGAGGUUACAGGCAUCGCGUGGUGAGUCACCCAGCAGGACUUAGAACAUCACUGAGUAGGUAACCCGAUGGAUACAAUAGACCAACACAAAGGAGUAAAGAGAUGAAGUGCUGCUCCCGUUAGUAAGCACAAGCCUGGUAUCUGCCAUCCAUCUGCAAAGAUCAAAUGCAUGACUCAUAUUAUUGAAUACUCAUUUUAGCUUAAUGUGUAAAAAGAAAAAUACAGCCAAGCAAGAACUUGGACCAAAAAGCUGUCCUGGUUUAAAUUACGCCUGAGUUAGGAUUGGGUCCAGAACAUCAAAAGCACUGACAGCCAGGUCCAUGGUCAUUCUUUGGCAGUACCUUUGGUUGUCAAGAGAAAGUUAUUUCCCAGCGAAAUGAGUACCUUGUAACAACCACCUAGAAAGUAAAUAGCCAGGAUGGGCCUACAAGCUUUUUCCCAGACGUAACUAGGUCUCGCAGAUGUUGCCUUUGAUGAAUCCCUACAGCAUACUGCGGACCUCAAAGCCAGGGCCUGAUCGGUAGUCCUGGGAGACAGACAGGGACAGGGCUGUGAGUGGUGAUGAAACACUGGGCGACUCAUCGGGGUGAGAUGACACCAUGAGGUCUGACGAUUCAGAAUACCCCCCUGCUUCACAGUCUGACCCUGGGCUUAGGCAAGAUGCCGAUGUCUAUGCUUGUUUGUGAUUCAGCACUCACGUGUGUAAUCACUUCAAUCUUGGCUACACUACUGGGCUUCCAACUUAAAACCAUGCACAGCAGGGACACUGCCCCCUAAUUUUUAAACAAAAUUUGUUUUUUUAAAUUAAAUAUCAAAGUUUCUAUCGUGAUAAAAAAUUUAAAAACUUUAUUGGACUUUAUUAAACCUAUGUUAUAGUUUAGUAUUGCUUUUAUUUUGAAUUAUGUAAGGUGGGGAGGGGGGUGUACCAUGUUUCUGAAGUUUAGGACCUUUAAUGGGUUUAAUCUGGGUGGCCCUGCUGUUAAGGGAAGUGGGGUAUCUGCUUUACACUGGAAAAGGGCUAAACCUGCCCUGUGUGCCCCCCAAAUCCUUUACAACCUUAUCUCUGUACCCCAACAUUAACCACUGGUUUAAAAGAUGGUGGUUCCAACAAUUCCUAUUAUCAAGCCGUACUUCCCUACCCCCCACACCUGCACCCCAACCGAGUGUGUGCCCUCUAUGUUCCCUGUGUUUAAUUCUGUAAGAACACCUCAAAUCUAGCCUGCACUAGAUUUUGGCUGAAAAUCUAUGACUUUGAAUAUUGUCCAGUAGCUUUUUAGCCCAUAUUCAGAUUAUCAGCUACUACCAGAGUGCUUAAGGCGGGUUAAGCACUUGACAAAGUAGCUUUACUCUCUAAACAAUCUUAUGUACUAGGUACUAUCUUUUGUUCAAAGAAAACAAUGAGGCUCAGGCAGAUAGUUAUCACCCAGGGUCAUAAAGCUUAGUAUAUCCUCAAUAAAUAUUAGCUGUUUGACAGUAGAAAAUGGCAAAACUGAUGCAAACCCAAUCAGACUUCCAAGCAUAUGCUCUUGGCCAUUCUUAAGGGACCACACCUCCAUCCUUCUAACACCCUCUUCCUGCCCCUCACGUACAUAUCAAACCCAGGUGUUUAAACCAGAAUCACUCGGGAAUCUACUUCUCCCCCCGUAUCUAAUCACCUGCCAAUUUUUAAAUUUUAAUUACUAAGCAGCUCCGAGCUGUCAAUUUCUCUGCUUCCUCAUGUUUACUUCUGUUUCAAAUCUUACAUGGACUACCUGGUCUUCUCUCUCUAAACCCAUUCUCUAUGUAUACAGUGAAUGAAGACACAAUUUAUUCAUGCCACUAUGAAUAUGCUCCCCACUGCCCUCAGCGUAAGGCCCAAACGCUUUAGUGUGGUUUAUAAAGCCCUUCCUAACCUAGUCCCUGCCCGUUUCUCCCCCGUCCAGCUUUAUUAAACAAGUCUUAAAAAAUCUCCCUGCCGUGACCGGUUUGGCUCAGUGGAUCGAGCGUCGGCCUACAGACUGAGGGGUCCUAGGUUCUAUUCUGGUCGAGGGCAUGUACCUUGGUGGCGGGCACAUCCCCAUAGGGGGGUGUGCAGGAGGCAGCAGAUCGAUGUUUCUCUCUCAUUGAUGUUUCUGGCUCUCUGUCCCUCUCCCUUCCUCUCUGUAAAAAAAUCAAUAAAAUAUUUUUUAAAAAAAAUCUCCCUGCCUUUAACAUGCAGACUCGUCUACUCUCCAGCAAUGCCAUCCCACUUCCCAUCUCUUAGCUAACUCCUAACAAUUCUUGGCUUAGACGUCACUUUUUCCAGGAAGCCUACCAUGACACCCCCACCCGGGCACCUUUGAAUUCCUGUCACAGGACUAGUCACACCACAUUGUACCAGUUGUCAGCUCAUUUUCACCCUCUUGGAAACUGUGAGUCAAGAUGGUAGAGCGACUGUCUGUCAUUCUUAAAGCUGUAUCCCAGAACCUGAAGACCUGUCUCCUUGCCUGCUCCCUCUCCAGGAGGGUUCCCGCCAGUCCCUGCCCCUGCCUCUCACCUACCCAAGCAUCUUGCCUAGAGAAGGUACCUAUUGGUACACUUUUUGAAUGAGUUCAAGACUUUACUCACCAGCCUUAACUUUCAGAAGGAAUAGGUGCAUUCUGCUGAUAAAUCUGACUGCCUAUAUAAGUCUAAAAAAUAUAGAAUGGCUGCUAAUUCAUAAAAGCUGUUAAAGAAAGGGCCUUAAAAGCCUAAGUCUAUUUUAAUCAAAUACCUUAUAGUGCAAAUAUAGUAAAUUCACAUGCAUUUUACUUUUACAUACUCAUAACAAAAUAAUUACAUAGACUAAAGUUGCAGUUUUUUCCUAAGUGAGUCCUCAUUUUAACCAAACCUACAAAGCAUUUAUUGAAAUUAAUGUUCUGGCAAAGCCACAUACUUGAAUCAAGCAGUGUCAAUGCUGUAGUAUAAAAAAAAAAUGAAGUCUCAAGAUGCAGAAGCAGUAGCCCUAUCAGCAACCCCUCUUCUGGGGAAGGACCCACACACAUACUCCUUCGCCCAAUUACUAUGAUGCUAUACCUCUUACGAGUUUACGGACUGAACAGAAUGCUUGUAUCAACAAGUAAAGACUUUCACAGAGGAAAACUGUCAUAGAAAUACAUUAUUACUUUUUUUUCCUGCUCCUUAAGGAUAUUGCAAUAGAAAUAUAUUAACGAUGGCCUCAAAUAUCCAAUAUUUUUCUAUUUUCUAUUUUAAAUCAAAGUUGUAGGAACCUACAGGUCUUAAUAAAGAACUCUCUUCACAGCACAGCUGUAGUUCACUUUACAAGGCAAAAAUGUUCCCUUUGCACUAUAUCCUUAAAAAUAA